GGGGGCAUGGUGUAAUGGUAACACAGCGGUCUCCAAAACCGCGGCUCGAGGUUCGAUUCCUUGUGCCCCCG
rnacentral:tRNA from 4 species